AGCGAAAUUUAGUAGCGAAGUAGCUGAUUUCACACUGUCAAGAAAAGUCUCUAUCGAGGUUAAAGGUACCCGUACCGCAAACCGACACAGGUGGGUGAGGAGAGUAUCCUAAGGCCAGCGAGAGAACUGUUGUUAAGGAACUCGGCAAAAUGACCCCGUAACUUAGGGAUAAGGGGUGCCACCAUCAGGUGGCCGCAGAGAAUAGGCCCAAGCGACUGUUUACCAAAAACAUAGGUUUCUGCUAAGUCGCAAGACGAUGUAUAGGAGCUGACGCCUGCCCGGUGCUGGAAGGUUAAGGGGAUCUGUUAGAGUAAUCGAAGCAGUGAACUUAAGCCCCAGUAAACGGCGGCCGUAACUAUAACGGUCCUAAGGUAGCGAAAUUCCUUGUCGGGUAAGUUCCGACCCGCACGAAAGGCGUAACGAUUUGGGCACUGUCUCA
rnacentral:rRNA from 1 species